rnacentral:rRNA from 1 species
UACGGAGGGUGCAAACGUUGCUCGGAAUUAUUGGGCGUAAAGCGCGCGUAGGCGGCCCAUUAAGUCAGAUGUGAAAUCCCUUGGCUUAACCAAGGAAGUGCAUCUGAAACUGAUGAGCUAGAGUACAAAAGAGGGUUCUGGAAUUCUCGGUGUAGAGGUGAAAUUCGUAGAUAUCGAGAGGAACACCAGUGGCGAAAGCGAGAACCUGGGUUGAUACUGACGCUAAGGCGCGAAAGCGUGGGGAGCAAACAGG